rnacentral:rRNA from 1 species
AUUGAACGCUGGCGGCAUGCCUUACACAUGCAAGUCGGACGGCAGCACGGGUGCUUGCACCUGGUGGCGAGUGGCGAACGGGUGAGUAAUAUAUCGGAACGUACCUUAUCGUGGGGGAUAACGCAGCGAAAGCUGCGCUAAUACCGCAUACGCCCUGAGGGGGAAAGCGGGGGGACCGUAAGGCCUCGCGCGAUUAGAGCGGCCGAUAUCUGAUUAGCUAGUAGGUGAGGUAAAGGCUCACCUAGGCGACGAUCCGUAGCGGGUCUGAGAGGAUGAUCCGCCACACUGGGACUGAGACACGGCCCAGACUCCUACGGGAGGCAGCAGUGGGGAAUUUUGGACAAUGGGGGGCAACCCUGAUCCAGCCAUGCCGCGUGAGUGAAGAA